rnacentral:rRNA from 1 species
UACGAAGGGGGCUAGCGUUGCUCGGAAUUACUGGGCGUAAAGCGCACGUAGGCGGUCUUUUAAGUCGGGGGUGAAAUCCUGGAGCUCAACUCCAGAACUGCCUUCGAUACUGGAAGACUUGAGUCCGGGAGAGGUGAGUGGAACUGCGAGUGUAGAGGUGAAAUUCGUAGAUAUUCGCAAGAACACCAGUGGCGAAGGCGG